CCCUUCGGCCAGUUUUUUUAAAGCAGAGGGGAAUGUGUUAACAGGGGAAGCGGAUGGAGGGAGGAGGAGAAAGGUGAGGUAGAGAGAGAAUGUGGCUAAGAGCGGGGCACAGCGCCUGCUGUCUUCAUCCCUGCACCGCAAGCGGCAUUCUCCCUCUGCCAGUGAUGAGGACUCUUAAAGAGGACAAAGAAGGAAGAAAGAAUAGUGAAAAAGCUCUCUGAGCAAUGAGGAUACCAGGAUUUUUCUGCAUUGAUUUGAGUCCCACUGCUUCUCUCAGACAUGUUCCAUUUGCCUGCUCUUUUCUUCCAUGUCAAUCCACUACUUUUCUGUGCUGGGAGAAGAUAUCAAAGUUCAUGUCAAUGUCGGCAGUUACAAUGUAACAGAUGAAACCAAAUGUACAAAAAAAACCUUCCAACCCAGAGGUUGAUAAACAAUGAAUCUUUGGGAAGAUUCAGCAGCCAUCCGCCACCUGCAAAGAUCAACUGGAGUUCCAGGGUUGAAAGGAAGGGGACUCACACAAUAGAUGCCCCCCUACAACCCUCUCUUUUAUCCUCACCACCCAACACACAUGGGCACACUGCCAACUCGGAAUCUUAAGAACUCUCAUUCAAAAGAACCCCCCUUAAGAAGGGGAUUUGUUUAAAGCCAGGACCCUUUCUCUCUCCCAGUCCUUGUAUUUUCCCCCUUUCAUAUCCCCAUGAGAAGAGCGAUUUUUGCUUGAUUAUUCUCCGACACCGCAACUGGGAUUUCUAAAAUUGCCACUCCAGCAGCGUUUUGUCAGAUUUAUGAAUUUUGUCAGUGAAGGGAUGCCAUUCUCGCUCUAGCGUGGACACAGCCAGAGGAGGAGGAAAUGGAGCAGAGAUGGCCAGCUUGAUUAACCCCUAAAAAAGUGUACAUGCCAGAAGAGCUGCACAGAAGACAUCGCACUAAUGG